GACCAAAGUGUUGAGUUCAGUUCUGGGCUUCUCUCCCCAGUCCUGGUAAUUAAUCUUUGGUACACGAGCUGGCUGGGAAUGGGUUCAUCAGCAGGAGCUGGUUUUUAUGUCACCGCUCUGCAAAACCACUCUGGCCAACACAU